UCAUCGCUGCAAUUGGCCGCUGGGAGAAUGCUGCGGUCCUUCUUGACUUUGGUUGUAUUGCAGAUUUGGAACUGCCGCCCCGGGGAUUGUCAGGCGGACCCUUCAGAAAGCGUGAAGUUGAGGCUGGUGAACGGGGGCAGUCCAUGCGCCGGGAGAGUGGAGGUGCACUACAAGGGGAACUGGGGGACUGUGUAUGAUGACCUUUGGGACCUGCAGGACGCGGCGGUGGUGUGUCGGGAGCUGGG